GAUGAACGCUGGCGGCGUGCCUAAUACAUGCAAGUCGAGCGAACGGACGAGAAGCUUGCUUCUCUGAUGUUAGCGGCGGACGGGUGAGUAACACGUGUAUCACCUACCUAUAAGACUGGUAUCACUUCGGGAAUCCGGAGCUAAUACCGGAUAAUAUUUUGAACCGCAUGGUUCAAAAGUGAAAGACGGUCUUGCUGUCACGUAUAGAUGGAUCCGCGCUGCAUUAGCUAGUUGGUAAGGUAACGGCUUACCAAGGCAACGAUGCAUAGCCGACCAGAGAGGGGGAUCGGCCACACUGGAAGUGAGACACGGUCCAGACGCCUACGGGAGGCAGCAGUAGGGAAUCGUACGCAAUGGGGGAGAGCCUGACGGAGCAAGGCCGAGUGAGUGAUGAAGGUCUUCGGAUCGUAAAACUCUGUUAUUAGUGAAGAACAUAUGUGUAAGUAACUGUGCACAUCUUGACGGUACCUAAUCAGAAAGCCACGGCUAACUACGUG
rnacentral:rRNA from 1 species